AAAAACUUCAGCAAGGGCCCCCCUCUCUUUCGCGCGUUAAAUAAUUAGGCCUCGUCUUUUGCACACGUCUGCAUCCAUCCAUAGCUGAUUUCAUCAAGCCCACCCAACACUAUGGCGCCCGCUACUGGAGCAAAGAAGCAAAAGAAGAAGUGGUCCAAAGGCAAAGUCAAGGACAAGGCUCAACACGCUGUCCUCCUCGACAAGGCCACGUCCGACAAGCUCUACAAGGAUGUGCAGUCAUAUCGUCUUGUAACUAUUGCUACACUUGUCGACAGAAUGAAGAUCAACGGUCUCUAGCACGGCAGUGCAUCGCCGACUUGGAAGCGAAGGGCAUCAUCAAGCCGAUUGUCACACAUAGCAAGAUGAAGAUUUACACCCGGGCCGUUGGAGGCUCCUGAGUCGCCUAAGAUGGCUGAGAUUGGAGAUGUGGCCGGCACCACACAGCGGCCAUGUGAUCGGACAUCGAUUCACGGCAUCCAAAGCCUUCUGGACAAAAUUCAUGCUGAAAAUAGCAUAGGAAGUUACGAUAAAUCUCAAAGUCGACAACAAGCAGGGGAUGAGUUCUGGGAAGGGUAGGUCACAAAGGGUGAUGCUUCGGGCAUUUGAAAGACUUAGUUACUCGCCUAUCAAGCUGAUGAACUCCAUUUCACUGAUGUAACCUUUUUCGGCUAAGUUUCUGAUAGUCAGGUGCUAUGGGUGAUGCAUCAAGACAGAGAGGAACACAGAAUAUCAUCAGAGGCCACAUGUAACUAACGUUGAGUCAUAGAUGUCCUGUGCGCCCGGCGCUGUGAGGCUAUCAACGGGCAGACCCUGUCGUA
rnacentral:lncRNA from 1 species